rnacentral:rRNA from 1 species
AUGGAGAUUCGGGCGUCUGAAUGGCCUUCUGAUGAUUUCUUGAGAGCAGCCGGUAUCUAUGAAGAUUUUCAUGAAGUGGCUCACAAUGCAGGCCUCACCGCUUUCCUCCACGACCAAUGCGAUCAGUAUCUCUUACUCACAAAUACUUUUGUGCAAAACUUUCAUUUUCAUUCUAGGAACUCACCACCUACGGUGGAGUUUCAUUUAUAUGAUGAGCAUAAGGAGAUGUCACUUUAUGAUUUCUAUCAGAUUUGUUUAGUCCCUUUUGAGGGCAAGACAGAAGAACCACAUCAUGAUGAUGUGGCUGGGUUUAUUGAUACUAUCACUGUAGGAGAAACUAGGAAGGUUUCCGAUGCACGAAUCACUAGCAUACAUUUUCCUGUUUUACGUUACUUUGCAUUAUUUGCUAGUGUUGUUUAA